AUUACAGCUCUUAAACAUACUGUGUCUCACUGUGCACCUUGUUUGGAAUACUAAACAACUCAUCUAAAUUCCAAAUUAUUCUCUUUUAUAUAUUAAGUGAAGUGAUCUUGAAAAAGACUAUAUAAAAUUUGCCAUGAGAUACUCUAAAGCUAGCUGUUUAAAAGAAUACUGCUCUAAAUCCUUUUGUAAAGUUUAAGAUACUUUGCUUAAAAAGGUAGUCAACUGCUAAUUUUUAUGUACUCUAGAUGAUCUGACAGAGCUCCCCAUAUUUAAGUGUUGACUAAAUGAUCUCUUUUCCAAUCUUAGGCUUCUAGGAUCAAAGAAUCUACAUACCUGGCAGAAAUAAUAAUUUAUUUUAUAGUUUCUUAAUGUUACGAUUAUAAACCCUAUUCAACUAAAAUUCUGCAAACACAUGUGCCAUAUUUUAUUGAUAAUAAACGUCCCCACAAAUACACAAACAUUUUAACAGCUCUGAAACUGGGUUACAUCUAGGAAUAUAUCUAAUGUAUACAACUAUUAGGCUUUUUUCGCCUUAAUGGUACAUAAAAUAAUGGCAUAUAUUACAUCUAAUAGCACCUUGCAGUCAGUAAAAUAAGGUAAAAUUUAUAUAAUUCAACAGAAAGAAACAAUCUUUUCUUUGGGCUGGUUAAUUACUCCCUUGACCGGGCAAGAUGAUGGCUCAGAAUUCUGACUGAACUACAUUAGAAUAAUUGAGCUUUCAUCAAGUAGUCAUUUGAUAAAGUAUAUAAUCACAAUUCUCAAUAGGGACUGCUACUAUGACAACCGUUGGUAUGGUAGAAAAUCUAGAAGGAAAUCUCAGAAUGACAAACUUCCAUUGCCAGGACUGUCCAUGCCUAGUUGUCUCCAAGGCAAGAUGGCUUGACCUGGCCUACUGGAGGAAGGAGGCUCACGGCUUAGUCUGGGGAGCAGAGAGUGGAAGAGAGGAUCUGAGAACAGAGACAGCUCCUUCAAGGUACACCCCUGUGAAGCCUCUUUCGACCAGACCCCACCUUCUACCUGCAAGUCAGCUAUAAUCCAGUCUCCUUCCAAAAAUUUCCCCUAUGAGCACAUGAGGCUCUUAAGGGCUACCUAAAUAUAAAGUGUAACAGUA